rnacentral:misc_RNA from 1 species
GUAGGAAUGAAACCCACUGGGAAACUGGAAAAUAGAAAAUCUUGAUUAACUUCAAUUGUUUGACUAUACACAAAAUAUUGUAAUUAAUAUUAAGCAUCUUGAUUAGGAAAAUAAAUUCCAAAUGAUUGAAUCUGAAAACUUCAACUAAACUGGAAACUGAUAUUGUUGAAAUUUUAGUCCCUCACGUUCUAAAUCUUUAGGGAUUGAAAAAGUCAAGGACUAAGUAUAUGAUAUGUUAAUGGAAGGACUAAACCGUAAGAAAUGAAAAAAAAAAUGA